CAGUCGCCGCGGUAAUACGGAGGAUCCAAGCGUUAUCCGGAAUCAUUGGGUUUAAAGGGUCCGUAGGCGGUCUUGUAAGUCAGUGGUGAAAGCCCAUCGCUCAACGGUGGAACGGCCAUUGAUACUGCAGGACUUGAAUUAUUGGGAAGUAACUAGAAUAUGUAGUGUAGCGGUGAAAUGCUUAGAGAUUACAUGGAAUACCAAUUGCGAAGGCAGGUUACUACCAAUUGAUUGACGCUGAUGGACGAAAGCGUGGGUAGCGAACAGGAUUAGAGACCCCCGUAGUCCCUGUCUCUUGUAC
rnacentral:rRNA from 1 species